rnacentral:rRNA from 1 species
GACGUAGGGCGCGAGCGUUGUCCGGAUUUAUUGGGCGUAAAGAGCUCGUAGGCGGUUUGUUGCGUCGGCUGUGAAAACCUGAGGCUCAACCUCAGGCCUGCAGUCGAUACGAGCAGACUAGAGUGUUGCAGGGGAGACUGGAAUUCCUGGUGUAGCGGUGAAAUGCGCAGAUAUCAGGAGGAACACCGGUGGCGAAGGCGGGUCUCUGGGCCGAUACUGACGCUGAGGAGCGAAAGCGUGGGGAGCGAACAGG